AAAUGAAUUGACGGGGACCCGCACAAGCGGUGGAUUAUGUGGUUUAAUUCGAAGCUACGCGCAAAACCUUACCAGCCCUUGACAUGUAUCUCGACCGGAAGAGAGAUCUUCUGGGCAUUUAGGUGGAGAUAACACAGGUGCUGCAUGGCUGUCGUCAGCUCGUGUCGUGAGAUGUUGGGUUAAGUCCCGCAACGAGCGCAACCCUCGCUAUUAUUUGCUAUCAGGUGAAGCUGAGCACUAUAAUAGAACUGCCGGUAAUAAGCCGGAGGAAGGUGGGGAUGACGUCAAGUCCUCAUGGCCCUUACGGGCUGGGCUACACACGUAAUACAAUGGCUGUGACAAAGAGAACCGAAGUGGUAAAACACGGAGGAAAUCUGUAAAAAGCAGUCUCAGUUCGGAUUGUCUUCUGCAACUCGAAGGCAUGAAGUUGGAAUCGCUAGUAAUCGCAGAUCAGCACGCUGCGGUGAAUACGUUCUCGGGUCUUGUACACACCGCCCGU
rnacentral:rRNA from 1 species